GACAGAGGAUGCAAACGUUGCUCGGAGUUACUGGGCGUAAAGCGCAUGUAGGUGGUCCGAUAAGUCGGGUGUGAAAUCCCGGGGCUCAACCUCGGAAGUGCACACGAUACUGUCGGACUUGAGUACUGGAGAGGAGAGCGGAAUUCCCGGUGUAGAGGUGAAAUUCGUAGAUAUCGGGAGGAACACCAGUGGCGAAGGCGGCUCUCUGGACAGAUACUGACACUGAGAUGCGAAAGCGUGGGAAGCAAACAGG
rnacentral:rRNA from 1 species